GCGGCUCAGUAGACCAGUGGGUAUGGCACCUGGCUAUUAAUCUAGAGGUCCCGGGUUCGAUUCCCGGGCCCGCACCA
rnacentral:tRNA from 1 species